rnacentral:lncRNA from 1 species
AAAAUUAUUCAUUUAUUAUUAAAACAUUGGCAAAAGACUUUAUUACAUAGAUAAGAGUUCAUAAUAUAAAUCUCAUAAAACACAAAAUACGGAAACAAUAAGCUCCUAGGUAAACCAUGUACGAGACGUCUGCACUCUGCACCACUGCCCCUCAAUCUGCAAUUUAAAACAAGAACGGAUAUGAGUUGUCAUUCAACUCAGUACGGAUGUCUCAACCUUUUACAUGCUUCAUUUUUGUUUUCAAAUAUAUUCCCUUUAGUUAUUACCCAUGUUCUACUCCGAGUUUUCUGUAGUUAUCAUCCAUCUGGACGCUUAGGGCCCAAAGCCCCUUCAUAGAAAUGACUCUCACCAUUCCCCAAACUCGAUUCUGUGUGGAGCACAGUCUCGACCAGACUCGAAUCAUCCCUGGGGAGUGAUUCGACUAGACUGUCCCGUCGGGUCAUUCGCCUCGUCAGGCUCAGACUCGAAUUCCCCCAUGGUUCACCCAACCAAUAUCCCCGAAGGGUCACAUUAUCAGACUUAGCCUCUCGGCUCAAAUUCGGUUUCCCCAUGGGUUCACUCGACCAGACUCUCCUGUUAGGGCACAAUCCAUCGGAUUUUUACUUUUCCAGUUCCAUUCUUUAUUUGUUGGCCUCGAUAUGGUUCGCCUCAUUCAUGUCGAGGUCCGAACUCCCAAUCAUGGAUUCAGGUCGAUCAACUUUCUGCUCCAUUUAUUCACAACGUACUAGCUAAGUGAGUGCGAACCCAUAACAAACCUUAUGGCCACUCAAGGGUCCUCUUGGAGAAAUCCCUGAUUCAACCUUAGUCUCGUCCUAUGAGCGUAGAAGGUCUCCCCGAAGACUCUUGUGCGUCACUAGGUUACUAACCCGACCUCACUCAUAACCCAAGGGUGACUUCAAAAAUAAAACAAGAACAAUAUAUAAAAAUAUGUGUUAGAGUAAAGGUCUAACCGCAUGCUUUCAUUCCAACCUUAACUUAGAGUAGGAGAAUCCAUACCUUCUUUCUUGAUUUCUUCUUCUUUCUCCUAGAUCCUCAAGAGCCUAGCUUAACCUAAGGAUCGACCAUAUAAUCACUCAUGAGAACCCUAGCACCAACCAACAUAAAAGAAAGAGAGAAAUCGCCUACCUUCAAUAUG